rnacentral:rRNA from 1 species
CUACGGGUCGCUCCAGUGGGGAAUAUUGGACAAUGGAGGAAACUCUGAUGCAGCAACGCCGCGUGGAGGAUGACACUUUUCGGAGCGUAAACUCCUUUUAUAUAGGAAGAAGAUGACGGUACUAUAUGAAUAAGCGCCGGCUAACUCCGUGCCAGCAGCCGCGGUAAUACGGAGGGCGCAAGCGUUACUCGGAAUCACUGGGCGUAAAGAGCGUGUAGGCGGAUUAAAAAGUCAGAAGUGAAAUCCUAUAGCUUAACUAUAGAACUGCUUCUGAAACUCUUAAUCUAGAAUAUGGGAGAGGUAGAUGGAAUUUCUGGUGUAGGGGUAAAAUCCGUAGAGAUCAGAAGGAAUAUCGAUUGCGAAGGCGAUCUACUAGAACAUUAUUGACGCUGAGACGCGAAAGCGUGGGGAGCAAACAGGAUUAGAUACCCUUGUAGUC